GACAGAGGGUGCGAACGUUGCUCGGAAUUACUGGGCGUAAAGCGCGUGCAGGUGGUCCCGCACGUCCGGUGUGAAAGCCCGGGGCUCAACCCCGGAAGCGCGCUGGAAACGACGGGACUGGAGGGCUGGAGAGGCGGGCGGAAUUCCCGGUGUAGAGGUGAAAUUCGUAGAUAUCGGGAGGAACACCGGUGGCGAAGGCGGCCCGCUGGACAGCGCCUGACACUGAGACGCGAAAGCGUGGGUAGCAAACAGG
rnacentral:rRNA from 1 species